rnacentral:rRNA from 1 species
AUUGAACGCUGGCGGCAGGCCUAACACAUGCAAGUCGAACGAGUGGCGGACGGGUGAGUAAUGUCUGGGAAACUGCCCGAUGGAGGGGGAUAACUACUGGAAACGGUAGCUAAUACCGCAUACCCUCGGAUGUGCCCAGAUGGGAUUAGCUUGUAGGUGAGGUAACGGCGCACCUAGGCGACGAUGCCUAGCUGGCAUGAGAGGAGGACCAGCCACACUGGAACUGAGACACGGUCCAGACUCCUACGGGAGGCAGCAGUGGGGAAUAUUGCACAAUGGGCGAAAGCCUGAUGCAGCCAUGCCGCGUGUAUGAAGAAGGCCUUCGGGUUGUAAAGGACUUUCAGCAGGGAGGCGUUACCCGAAGAAGAAGCACCGGCUAACUCCGUGCCAGCAGCCGCGGUAAUUC